rnacentral:lncRNA from 1 species
CGGCUCUGAUUAAACCUGUAGCCUGGGUACCUCCAUAUGCCGGGGAAGCGGACCUAGAAAAGGCAAAAAGACAAAAGAAAACAAAAAAACAAGAGUUCUCCUUUCCAUUACGUACAAUUGCAGUGUCACUAAAACCUGGCUCAAUAUAAUUUUGCAAAUCUAUCUUCUUCUACAACAUGUUGCCUAUCCCCCAAACAUCCUUACUUCUAGAAGAUUCACAAAAGUAGCUUGUUUCACUCCUUUCUGUCUGUUUGGUGCCCAGCACGAUGCCUGGCACUUGGUUGCUAGAUAAAGGUUGCAUACGUGAAUGACUGCUCUCAGUAUUAUUUUAAGGGAAGAAAACCCUACGCUUGAUUUCUUUCUUCAGAUAGAACAUGAUCUUAAAUUACAUGAACUGCCCUGAUUAUUCACUUGAACCCACACAACCUAUUAAAAAAAAAAAAAAAGCCACUGUCAAGGUGAAAUCGUCUUACUCUUAAUAUAUAAAAUUUUCAAUUAGCCAGGCUAAUUAAGGAGGGCCGAUUUCCAAAUAAUUCCAGAAGUUAAUAGUAUCAGAAGGGUUAUAAUAGGAUGUCCCAAAAGAUCGUUCCCAAAAGGGAUGGUCUGGUUGAGGAUGAGUCUAAUUGUAUAUAAACACACUUGGAAUCAUCCUGAAGCAACGCUCCAACCUGCCUGUCGACUGUGCGUCUUUAGUAGGAAUUUAAUUUUCACUUGAAGUACACAUUGAAUAUUUUCUGUGAUGUCUUGGUUACCAUUUCUCAAACUUUUUAUUUCCACCAGGGGAAAAUAAAGGUCCGAGUGAAAAGGCAGCAGCAAAACAAAUCGAAGCGUGAAAGUGAAGAGUUCGAAAAGGAGCUGGACAAGAGAACUUCAGGCAGAAGGGAAUGUCUUGUCCUUUGGAAGCUUCCAUUUGUGAUAUGGAGUCACUGGCUGAUGAACUUCGUGCCUGGCUGCAGACCCAUCUCCUCCUGGACACCCUCCCUAACAGCUGCAGGUCUGGGCGGUGUUCCUUCUUCUGAACCCAGGAAUUUAUCCCUCCCUCCCUCCCUCCAUUCAAGUCCACAGUUUAAUGGAAGAGCCAGAGCUGCAAACAAUGAGAACAACUUCAGGAACACUGGGAACCUCUGCACCAGCCCUUAACCCCGCACAGCCCAGGACCUUCAGUUCUCUUUGCUG